UCUGCGCAUAGAGGCAUGGUAGGCAUGCUUUCCGUGUCACGUGAUCAUCAGUAGGUGGCAGAGAAGAGAGAGGCUAUGUCUAUGCUGAAUGUUCUGAACUAUGAACAUCUGAGUUAUUAGUAGCCUAACAUC